rnacentral:rRNA from 1 species
UACGAAGGGGGCUAGCGUUGUUCGGAAUCACUGGGCGUAAAGGGCGCGUAGGCGGCCAUGCGUGUCUUCCGUGAAAUCCCUCGGCUUAACUGAGGACGUGCGGAAGAAACUGCAAGGCUCGAGUCCGGGAGAGGGGGGUGGAAUUCCCAGUGUAGCGGUGAAAUGCGUAGAUAUUGGGAGGAACACCGGUGGCGAAGGCGGCCCCCUGGACCGGUACUGACGCUGAGGCGCGAAAGCGUGGGUAGCAAACGGG